AGAGUUUGAUCAUGGCUCAGGAUGAACGCUAGCGGCAGGCUUAACACAUGCAAGUCGAGGGGUAUAGUUCUUCGGAGCUAGAGACCGGCGCACGGGUGCGUAACGCGUAUGCAAUCUACCUUUUACAGAGGGAUAGCCCAGAGAAAUUUGGAUUAAUACCUCAUAGUAUGUGAGAAUCGCAUGGUUUUCACAUUAAAGUUCCAACGGUAAAAGAUGAGCAUGCGUCCCAUUAGCUUGUUGGUAAGGUAACGGCUUACCAAGGCAACGAUGGGUAGGGGUCCUGAGAGGGAGAUCCCCCACACUGGUACUGAGACACGGACCAGACUCCUACGGGAGGCAGCAGUGAGGAAUAUUGGACAAUGGGCGCAAGCCUGAUCCAGCCAUGCCGCGUGCAGGAAGAAGCAUCUAUGGUGUGUAAACUGCUUUUGUACGGGAAGAAACACUCCUACGUGUAGGAGCUUGACGGUACCGUAAGAAUAAGGAUCGGCUAACUCCGUGCCAGCAGCCGCGGUAAUACGGAGGAUCCAAGCGUUAUCCGGAAUCAUUGGGUUUAAAGGGUCCGUAGGCGGUUUAAUAAGUCAGUGGUGAAAUCUGGUCGCUCAACGAUCAAACGGCCAUUGAUACUGUUAGACUUGAAUUACUGGGAAGUAACUAGAAUAUGUAGUGUAGCGGUGAAAUGCUUAGAUAUUACAUGGAAUAC
rnacentral:rRNA from 1 species